GAUCAUGGCUCAGAUUGAACGCUGGCGGUAUGCUUAACACAUGCAAGUCGAACGGUAGCAGGUCUUCGGAUGCUGACGAGUGGCGGACGGGUGCGUAACGCGUAGGAAUCUGCCUAUUAGUGGGGGACAACUUAGGGAAACUUAAGCUAAUACCGCAUACGCCCUACGGGGGAAAGGAGGGGACCUUCGGGCCUUUCGCUAAUAGAUGAGCCUGCGUUGGAUUAGCUAGUUGGUAGGGUAAAAGCCUACCAAGCCUGCGAUCUGUAGCUGGUCUGAGAGGACGACCAGCCACACUGGAACUGAGACACGGUCCAGACUCCUACGGGAGGCAGCAGUGGGGAAUAUUGCGCAAUGGGCGAAAGCCUGACGCAGCAACGCCGCGUGAGUGAGGAAGGCCUUCGGGUUGUAAAGCUCUGUCUUUUUGGACGAAGACUGAAUGGUUAAUAGCCAUUCAGGUGACGGUACAAGAAAAGGAAGCCCCGGCUAACUACGUG
rnacentral:rRNA from 1 species